UGUGGGUAGGGUUAGGGCAGGGCUGUCCAAACUCUGUCCUGGAGGGCCGGUGUCCUGCAGAGUUUAGCUCCAACCCCAAUUAAAAUCACCUGAACCAGCUAAUCAAGCUCUCAGGCAUAGAAACUUCCAGUCAGGUGUGUUGAGGCAAGUUGGAGCUAAACUCUGCAGGACACCGGCCCUCCAGGACCGAGUUUGGACAGCCCUGGGUUAGGGUGUGGUUGGAUAACCUAGCUCCACCUUUUAGGCACAAAUUACAUUCGCUCCUCCUCGCUGGACGUCUAGCAAGGAAGAGCGAGACGUAAACUCCACCCAUUUACUCUGCAGCUUUUUGUGCUGCUAAUUGCCAGAAGACCAGAAGAACUUGCUACCCUGUGCAAAGAAAUGCAAGUACUGGCAGUGCAUCAGAUGGAGAGAUUUAAAAGGUCAACAAAAGAUGGCUGCUGCUCACUUUGGACAGAGAUGGGGGAAGAAAAGAGUGGGUCCGAACGCAAACAAAUUCUUCUAAAGUCUGUCCCUCUUUUAGAGUACGCUUACUUGAGGAAUCUCCUGGAUUUUAUUUUUUUUCAAAUAAAUUCUAAUAUCGCUC
rnacentral:lncRNA from 1 species